rnacentral:lncRNA from 1 species
UUUUCCAGCUAACUGGAUGGGAAAAUUGAGAAUAGAUCAGAGUUAAUCUUCCUAACCACUAUACAACACAGCCUCAACUUAGUAUCUUUGUUUAUAUUUGCCUCCUUCACCAGCAAGUAAAGUCUCCUGAGGGCAUUGAUCAUAUCUUAUUUUCCUUUGUAUCUCCAGCCCCAACAUCCAGAACAGUGAUUUGCACAUAGCAAGGAGAUUUUUACAGAUGGAACUAUGAGGUUUGGCAACUCUCUUAAGAGAUUCAAGCAUUCAUCAAUCUAUCCAUCCCUCCAUCCAUCCACCUACUCAAGGACACCCAAAAAAUGAGGCUCUCGGGUAUUGAAGCAAAGCUACAACCCACAAAGCAGAUUACCCUGGAAACAGACUGGACAAGGGCCUCCCAGAACUGCCCCCCCAAGGCCAUUCUACCCAGAGCCUCAGAGAAGUGACCAGUCACUGGGCAAGCUUUCAACACAAAAUUAAUUACCUAGGUCCAGGGACCACCAGGACUACCAUAUCAUUCUCCAAGGUAAGGGCAGGGGACAAAGAACUAAGUGAGAAAAAGAUGAGGAGAUAGUGAAAACACCCACGGACA